rnacentral:tRNA from 1 species
GCGGGCGUAGUUCAGCGGUAGAAUGUCUCCUUCCCAAGGAGAAGGUCGCGAGUUCAAUUCUCGUCGCCCGCU